ACAGUGUUGCAAUACUAAUUCAACCUAGUACGAGAGGAAUUGUUGAUUCACACAAUUUGUCAUCGUGCUUGGUUGAAAAGCCAGUGGCGCGAUGCUACCGUGUACUGGAUUAUGACUGAAUGCCUCUAAGUCAGAAUCCUGGCUAGAAGCGACGCAUGCGCCCACCGUCCGCUUGCCGACCCACAGUAGGGGCCUCGGCCCCCAAGGGCACGUAUCGUUGGCUAAGCCGCCGCAGCGGAAGGGUCGCGGUGGCCGCCUUGAAGUACAAUUUCCAUCGAGCGGCGGGGAGAAUCCUUUGCAGACGAAUUAAAAAAGCGACGGGGUCUUGUAAGUGGCAGAGUGGCCUUGCUGCCACGAUCCACUGAGAUUCAACCCUUUGUCGCUCCGGUUC
rnacentral:ncRNA from 1 species